UGAGCAACCUGCCCUUGACUCCGGAACAACAGCUGGAAACAGCUGCUAAUACCGGAUAUGACCUCCGAUGGCAUCAUCUGGAGGUGGAAAGCUCCGGCGGUCAAGGAUGGGCUCGCGGCCUAUCAGCUUGUUGGUGGGGUAAUGGCCCACCAAGGCGACGACGGGUAGCCGGCCUGAGAGGGUGACCGGCCACACUGGGACUGAGACACGGCCCAGACUCCUAGGGAGG
rnacentral:rRNA from 1 species